AUACGCAAUGGUUACGGGACAUUUGACUUUCAGUUUUCAAUUUUAUGCGUAUUUUUCAUGAAAAAUGCAGCUUAUACUUGUGGGAAUUUAGUCCGUCCGUCUGAAGGUUUGAGAUCCCAGCAUGAGUAUGUUAUAUUAGAAUUAGAGAACGGGAGUGUGGAAAUGGGGUAUUCACAAACGUACCAAGUUAGCAGCCAAAAUGCCGAAAACUGUCGAACGACUAGUAACGGCAUAAAAAAACACAGCUUCCUGGUGAGCAUGCGCAUUUUGUUUUCAGGUACGUUCCGGGCACCGCACCGGUCGUAAGAGAGCUACCGUGAAGUGGGAGCGUAGAGCUGUUGCCUGUGCCAAAAAUAGCCUAGCACCUCCUAGCGGUUGUCCGGGCAACAACAGCGGGACCCCAUUGACGUGCACGCGACCUUCACCUCGCGGUCGCCGUGGACUACUCGACCGUCUCACGAACCUUCCCAGGUAAAUCAGCUCCGAGCGCGAUUACGACUCGGUAUGGUUUGGUAUCCUUCGCACGAAGAUGGGUCCUAUGCCUUCAACCUAAUAACAAGUAAAUUUUUGCAUUUUAAUUGAUUAUUAAUAUAGCAAUUUGAUUUAUUUAAUAAAAGUGUAAUGUGCGGUUGUAAUAAUGAUAAAUCACCUCGUUUAUCGUUCACUAUUUAAAAUGGUAAAAGGGAAA